rnacentral:rRNA from 1 species
AACGAACGCUGGCGGCAUGCCUAACACAUGCAAGUCGAACGAGACCUUCGGGUCUAGUGGCGCACGGGUGCGUAACGCGUGGGAAUCUGCCCUUGGGUUCGGGAUAACAGUUGGAAACGACUGCUAAUACCGGAUGAUGACUUCGGUCCAAAGAUUUAUCGCCCAGGGAUGAGCCCGCGUCGGAUUAGCUAGUUGGUGGGGUAAAGGCCUACCAAGGCGACGAUCCGUAGCUGGUCUGAGAGGAUGAUCAGCCACACUGGGACUGAGACACGGCCCAGACUCCUACGGGAGGCAGCAGCGGGGAAUAUUGGACAAUGGGCGAAAGCCUGAUCCAGCAAUGCCGCGUGAGUGAUGAAGGCCUUAGGGUUGUAAAGCUCUUUUACCCGGGAUGAUAAUGACAGUACCGGGAGAAUAAGCCCCGGCUAACUCCGUGCCAGCAGCCGCAGUAACAC